CACACACACACACACACACACAGAUUUCAAUUCUGACCCUGCUUGUAACCUAGGGUUUUCAUCUCUCUUUUGAUCCUGUUUCGUCAUCUAUUAAAGAACUCAGAUUCCCAAAUGAAAUGGUGUGCCAGAAUCACCUGAGAAUUUUGAAAACUACAGAACCUACUACUAGAAGAUCUGAUUUACAAAGUCUUGGGUGAUGCCUAGAAAUCUGCAUUUUCAAUAAAUCACACUUCCCUCCAUCAUGACUUUUAAUUCUGAUACAAAGCCAGACUUAGAAACCACUGCAUUAAAUGACCUUUAAGACUCCUGAUAGCUUUCAAAGUUAUAAAACUAUGGGUUGAAACUAAUUUUCUACUCUUUCACCCCAGAAUUCUCCCCCAGGCCCAUCCACUAUUAGCACAUCCCAAACAUCUCAAUGGUCGAGUUUCAGGUUAACAAUGAAGAUACAAGUCUAAAAACAAUGUCAAGUAUCAACAGCUUGCUCAACAGUUUUAUUUGUUUCAUUAUCAAAGUAUAAGGCAGAUCUAAUCACAGCUUUUCCAGAGAAUAUACAAUCAAAAGUAAACUUUAAGACAUCACAUUUUGCAAAGAACCAGCUAUUUGCUGGAAACAGUCAAAAAGAAUAGCAUUUAGAGAGAACUUUCCCUAAAUGUUAUAUUUAAAAACAGAGUUAUGGAAUGAAAGUCUACUUGUCCGUAACUUACAAAGCAACAUUACUCUAAACACUUUUAGAGAUGUCCACUGUAUAAUGUCGAGAACUGUCUAGGCUACCACCUCUUCUAUUAGCUAAAAAUCACUCUUCUAUUAGCUAAAAAUAACUCAAAUUACUGAGUUUACGCUUUUUGUUUCUUCUAGGUGCCCAAGUAUAAUCAAGAAGCCCCAGCAGGACUAUGAAAACAUUUGCAUCUUUAAGUUAAAGCACUAUGGAUUUCAGUAUUUCAUGGUAUCUCUGGAAAGUGAAAGAAAGGAGCCUUGCCCUGGAGUUGACAGCCCACGGCCCCCACAUUCUGGCCCAAGAUGAAUGCUGCCACAGAAACCGAGUUCAACAUCCUACUGGCCAGCGAUUCCUACGAGGUCACAUAACACAAGCAAAGUUUAUUCCUACUCUGAAUGCCAUGAAAAGAAGACAGAAAACUCCAAAGAAGAAAGGUGAAAUACGAGGAAACAGUAUUUUAUGGGUUGAGUACAUUCUUAGUAAGUACUUCAAAGGUAAAAGUGGUGACCAAAGAGAAAAUCCAGGAAGCCAAAGAAGUCUACAAAGAGCAUUUCCACAUGAUGUCUUUAACGAAAAGGGAUGGGAACUACAUUCUUAAGAAGUAUGAUGGACAUCUUCCAAUAGAAGUAAAAGCUGUUCCUGAGGGCUUUAAUUGCAGAGGAAAUGCUUUCUUCACAGUGGAAAACCCAGAUCCAGAGUGUUUUGGCCCACAAACUGGACUGAGACUUUUUUAAAAAAAGAUUUGAAAAAUUCAUAUUUCUCCCCGCCCUCAUUGUUUCCUCUCACUGACUGCUCAUUGUGUGCUCAUCAACUUCUUUUUUUUUUAGGAGGCACUGGGAACCAAACCAGGAACCUUCCAUAUGGGAGGGAGGCACCUAAUCGCUUGAGCUACCUCCACUCUCUGAGAAUACUCUUGUUCAGUCCUGGUUUCCAAUCACAGUGGCCACAAAUUCCAGAAAGCAGAAGAAAAUAAUGGUGAAAUGUUUGUUAGAAACUUCUGGUAACUUAGAUGGUCUGGAACAUAAGUUACAUGAUUUUGGCUACAGAGGAGUCUCUUCACAAGAGACUGCUGGCAUAGGAGCAUCUGCUUGUUUGGUUAACUUCAAAGAACAGAUACAAUAGCAGGAAUUGCUUUAAUUAAAAAAUAUUGGGGGGAAGUGGAUUUGGCUCAACUGAUAGAGCAUCUGCCUACCACAUGGGAGGUCCAGGGUUCAAACCCAGGACCUCCUGACCUGUGUGGUGUACUGGCCCACGCGCAGUGCUGAUGCGUGCAAGGAAUGCCGUGCCAUUUGGGAGUGUCCCCACAUAGGGGAGCCCAUGCACAAGGAGUGUGUCCCGUAAGGAGAACCACCCUGUACAAAAAGAGUGCAGCCUGUCCAGGAGUGGCGCCGCCACACAGAGAGCUGAUGCAACAAGAUGAUGCAACAAAAAAAGACACAGAUUCCCAGUGUCACUGACAAGAAUACAAAUGGACACAGAAGAACACACAGUGAAUGGACAGAGAGAGUAGACAACUGGGGGAGGGGGAGGAGAAGGGGAGAGAAAUGAAUUUAAAAAUCUUUGGAAAAAAAAAUAUUGGGAAGCAGAUGUUGCUCAAGCAGUUAGGCAUCUGCCUACCACAUGGGAGGUCCCGGGUUCGGUUCCCAGUGCAUCCUAAAGAAGAAAAGCAAGACAACAGCUGAUGCAACAGGCUGGCAUGGUAAUCUGACUCAAUGAACUGACACAAGGAGGAAAACACAAGAGACGCAACAAGCAGGGAAUGGAGGUGGCUCAAGCGAUAGGUGCCUCCCUCCCAUAUGGGAGAUCCUGGGUUCGGUUCCUGGUGCCUCCUGGAAAAAAAAAAAAGCAAAGCAAACAAAACAACUAAGGGGAGCCAAUGUGGCUUAGUGGUUGAGCGCCAGCUUCCUUAUACACCAGGUCUUAGGUCCAAUUCCUGGUCCCAGGACUUCAAAAAACAAACAAACAAACAAACGAAAAGAAUAUAUAUAUAUAUAUAAUGGAACAAAAGAUCCCGUUCAGGCUAUUCUGUUCCAGCAGCAGAACACAGUACCGUAAGAGCUAAGGGGAAAAAUCAUCAUGAAAAAGAUGCUACUGAACAGAGUUUUCAUUAGUGUCUGUAUCUGUCAUCAGCAAUAGUAUGACAUUUAUAACGUGUGAGAAAAUAUGGGGUGGACAUCUAUUACAUUUAAUAGUAUCAAGAGGUACAGAGACACCUCUAAUAAUCAGACCUGAUUCUGGAAAUCCUCUUGACACUAUAUUAAAAAUUUUUUAUAUCUUAGGUAAGAAGUUCCCAGUUACCAAAAACUCAAAAGGGCUAAAAAUUGCUGCUAUCUUAUCUUAGAGUUAUUCAAGGGAAUGGAGUACAUAUUAAUACCUUACAAGAGACUGUAGAAGGCAUGAAGCCAAAAAAAAAGGAGUAUUGAAAAUGUUUUCUUCAGUUCUGGUGGAGCUUUGCUACGGAAGUUAACGAGAGAGCUCUUGAAUUGUUCCUUCAAGUGUAGUUAUGUUGUAACCAAUGGCCUUGGGGUUAAUGUCUUCAAGGACCCAGUUGCUCAUCCCAACAAAAGUCCAAAAAAGGCCCAUUGUCUUUACAUAGGACACCAGCAGGAAACUGUUACACUUGAGAAACGAAAAGGAGAUCUUGAAGAAUAUGGUCAUGAUCUUCUACAUUCUGUCUUCAAGAAUGGGAAGGUAACACAAAGCUCUUCAUUUGAUGAAGAAAAAUGCAAAGCUGAAUAUCAUCUAACUGGAAGCAGCACCUCAUUAGGCUUUGUGUUAUGAUUAAGUGUGUGUGUCUACAUAGAUAAUGUUUAUUGUACAGUUGUAUGGGGUUUCUUUGUGUUUUGAUACAUUACAGCCAAAUUAUUUGUAGGUUUAUGGAUAAGUAUCUCCAUUAUGGAUAAGUAUAUCCUUUUUAAAAAAAGUGAUCUCAAAUUAGAAGACUCAACCACAUAAAAGAUUAAUAAUAAAGUAAGCUUUGCCAAUAGGUAGUAAUUCAAUCUGGUUUGACCUUUUUACAAAAAAACAUAAUGAAGAAAUUUUUGUAUGUAACUAAAGAUCACAUAAAAUGGAUCUGCAUAAAAUUCAUUACUUUAUGUUUAUAUUUACCUUGUACUUCUGCACAAACAAGACUGUGUAAAAUACAUUUAAAGUUUCCAUGGGGGAGGAGGGUAGGGGAGAGAAAUAAAAUAAAUAAAUAAAUCUUAAAAAAAAGGUUUCCAUGAUUUAAAGUCUUUCCAACUUUUCAUGAUAUUUAUGAGCACAGACUUUCAAGAAAAUACUUGAAAAUAAAUUACAUUGCCUUUUGUUCAGUAAUCAGCAAAUAAAACAUGGUGUUUUGUACAAUUUAAAAAUGAUGUCAGGACAUACCCUGUAGAAUUACUAACCUUACUGCCUCUUAACACUUUCAUAUUACUUACGAAUUCCAAAAAGAGAUAUAGAUUAUGUUUGUAAACUGGUUGUCCUCUGGUAUGCUAACCCUUUGACUGUAUUAGAUUCAGCUGAGACAUCUGAUUAAAUUAUGUUAAGAUUAAAGCUCUGAUCCAACCACAUCAUUAGAGUGAGCCUCAGCUCCCUUGGGGAUAAAAUAGACCCUCACACAGAAGUAAACACACAGAAAAGAACAACAGAGGAAGAGAGACAGUUCAUUAGACAUGGCAGAGGCCCCCGGAGAAGAAAUGAGCCUGAUAGUCUACGAUGACCCUGUGAAGAGAACUGAGCAGCUGAGCUUAGAAAGGAAAGAGCCCCAGGGAGAGAGAGACAAGCCUUAUACAAGCCUACAGCUGAGAAUGAAAGAAGCUGGGACUAUGGAGCCUUAAGAGGAAGAAGGAAGGCUAAACCUUUGCAGACAUCACCUGCGAUCUUGCUCCAACAUGUAGCCAAUGACUUUGGGUGAGAAAGUACCUCUUAAGGUUCCUUGAAUUGAAGUCUUUAGGGCCUUAUGGCUGUAAGCUUCGACCCCAAAUAAAUAUCCUUUAAUAAAUGCCAACAGAGGGAGCAGAGGUGGCUCCUUCCCAGAUGGGAGAUCCCAGGUUUGGUUCUCAGUGCCUCUUAAAGAAAGAAGACCGGCACACAACAACCAGCCACAGCAAAUGCAAACAAUGAG
ensembl:lincRNA